GAUGAAGAACGUAGUGAAAUGCGAUACUUGGUGUGAAUUGCAGAAUCCCGUUAACCAUCGAGUCUUUGAACGCAAGUUGCGCCUCAAGCCAUUAGGUUGAGGGCACGUCUGCCUGGGCGUCACAUAUCGUUGCCUGAUGCCAGUUUCCUCGUGAUGGGUGACUGUGCAGGGCGAAUGAUGGCUUCCCGUGAGCAUUGUUGCCUCAUGGUUGGUUGAAAAUUGAGUCCUUGGUAGGGAGCGCCGUGAUAGAUGGUGGUUGAGUGACGAACGAGACCCAAUCAUGUGAGACCCCUACCGAAUUUGGCCUUCAUGACCCACAUGCGUCUUUGGAACGCUCAUGACGAGACCUCAGGUCAGGCGGGGCUACCCGCUGAGUUUAAGCAUAUCAAUAAGCGGAGGA
rnacentral:misc_RNA from 1 species